rnacentral:rRNA from 1 species
UACAGGGGGUGCAAACGUUGCUCGGAAUCAUUGGGCGUAAAGCGCACGUAGGCGGUUCGUUAUGUCGGAUGUGAAAGCCCUUGGCUUAACCGAGGAAGUGCAUCCGAAACUGGCGAGCUAGAGUACUAAAGAGGAUCGCGGAAUUCCCGGUGUAGAGGUGAAAUUCGUAGAUAUCGGGAGGAACACCGGUGGCGAAGGCGGCGAUCUGGGUAGAUACGUGACGCUGAGGUGCGAAAGCGUGGGGAGCAAACAGG